GAUGAACGCUAGCGGCAGGCUUAAUACAUGCAAGUCGAGGGGUAGCAAGAUUGUAGCAAUACAAUUGUUGACGACCGGCAAACGGGUGCGGAACACGUACACAACCUUCCUACAAGUGGGGAAUAGCCCAGAGAAAUUUGGAUUAAUACCCCGUAACAUAGCGAUGUGGCAUCACAUUGCUAUUAUAGCUUCGGCGCUUGUUGAUGGGUGUGCGGCUGAUUAGAUAGUUGGCGGGGUAACGGCCCACCAAGUCUACGAUCAGUAGCUGAUGUGAGAGCAUGACCAGCCACACGGGCACUGAGACACGGGCCCGACUCCUACGGGAGGCAGCAGUAAGGAAUAUUGGACAAUGGACGCAAGUCUGAUCCAGCCAUGCCGCGUGAAGGAUUAAGGUCCUCUGGAUUGUAAACUUCUUUUAUAAGGGACGAAAAAAGGUCUUUCUAGAUCGUCUGACGGUACCUUAUGAAUAAGCACCGGCUAACUCCGUGCCAGCCGCCGCUGUAAAAC
rnacentral:rRNA from 1 species